UACGUAGGGGGCGAGCGUUGUCCGAAGUUACUGGGCGUAAAGCGCGCGUAGGCGGUUAUUUAAGUCUGUGGUGAAAGGUUCAGCGCUCAACGCGAACAUUGCCCUGGAUACUGGAUGACUUGAGUCUGGGAGGGGGUAGUGGAAUUCCUGGUGUAGCGGUGAAAUGCGUAGAUAUCAGGAGGAACACCGGUGGCGAAGGCGACUACCUGGCCUAAGACUGACGCUGAGGUGCGAAAGCGUGGGGAGCGAACGGG
rnacentral:rRNA from 1 species